GACUUUAAGACAAUCCUGAAGCCAUUUUUGACAAUUCUAAAUCCUCUCAGCCUCUGUGCCAUAGUGCUUCUCCUCCUCCCCUGGGAACCAAGGACCUAACAGCUACACUCGCACGUACUCAGUUCCUGAACAAUUACCCAUAUACGUAUGUUUUGGUUCGGUCCCCUGGGAAACGGGGUCAAAAUGACCUCUUACCUCAUCUGAUCUGGCAACAGCUCUCCAGUCAAUUACUGGUAAUAGCCCUUUCGAAUAAGCCAAUCAGAAUAGUCAAAGAACAACCCCCCUUGCUUCUGUGGCCCCUUUAAAAGUAGACUGUAUCAGCUAUUCUAGGUCCCUUGGCUUCCCGAAUGCUGGGGGACCCUGUCAUGACAGAAUUAAUAAAAUCCUCAUGUUUUUGCAUUGGUUGUGGUGUGUUAGAUGGUCUCUGGGGGAGACUCCUCCUCGGUGUUUGGACGCUAGCGUCCAACAUUUGGUUCCCUGACCGGGAAUCGAGUCGCUCCCAGACACACUCUAGACCCAGUUGGAGGUAUAAAGAAAGGAGCUCAUUUAUAUGCCUGUCUGUUUGUGUAUUGUGUUUCUGUUUCAGUGUAAUUGUGAAUUAGUAAUCUAAGAAUUGUACUUGCGCAGGGUCUGUAUUGAAACGGGGCUAAGGGAGGAGGCAGACGUGUCCUGAGAUCCCUUGCCCUAGCCCUGAAAGACGUUUCAUGGGCAUUUAUGGGAGGAAGGGGCGACCAGGUCGCCCUAAUCUCCAGGGUAGAUGUGAUCCUCCAUCUGUAUUUUUGGAUCUGUUGCUGCGCGGCUUCUGAUUUUGAGUCUAUGUCUGUCUUUUUGUUCUUGUGUAUUUUCAGUUCUACACCAGACUGGUGGUGAGAGAACCAGCUUCUGGUUUUAAGUUUAUGUCUGUCUCUUUGUAUUUUUUGUUUUUUGUAUGUUGGUUUGUCUUUGUUAAAAUCCACCUGCAGGAAUUCAGACCCUGGCACUGGCCCCCUGGCCAUUGUCAGUUUCCCUGAUUCCGAAAGCAGCCCCACUGCUGGAGGAGGUGAUGGCUGCCCCUCCCCAAGCCCUUUGUCUUCUCUCUUUCCUGUACAGGAGCAAAAGAAACCCAGAAUCCAGGCACCUCUGGUUCUUCCUGAUAUCCAGCGGAGCAUGACAGACUUCUCCCUCCUCCUCCCCCAGAGGAAGCACUUCGUUCCUGAGGAGCCCCGCUGGUCUGGCCCUAGCCCUGAAAACUUCAGUACUCAGCAUCUAAGCUGGGACAGGGGAAGGAUGAGAGUGAUUUACCAAACAUUUCCCCUUCGCUCGGUAGCAGGCCAAUUACAAUACUGCCUUUUUCUGCUUCUAAUCUUUACUUACAACCCUUCCUUUUCUCGGGACCCUCAGGCCAUGACCGGGCUUAUAGAAUAUGUUCUGGUUAUUCAUCAACCCACUUGGAAUGAUUGCCAGCAGCUCUUACAGGUGCUCCUAACCACAGAGGAAAAAAAAAUGUCCCAGGAGCUGACAGCAGGCCAACCCAAUCACCGGACAAGAUAGAGGAUGGGACUCAAUUCUCCAACUGUCCAGUCAGCAUCAGACAGCAAGUUGCAGAGAAUGGAGGGACUGCAGAGAUGCUCCCUCCAGUACUUAGUAAAGGAAAAAAAUUAGACAGAUAGGGAGGCAACAGAAGAUGACAGCUGCAGAGACUGCACACCUCAGACAGAGCAGCCCCUGAAUGGCCGAAGGCAGACUUCAAUGAGGAGUGGCCCUACAGGACUUUGGGCUCGAGACACUUCCCAAAGCAGCUGCUGAGCAGAAGCAGGUCGGAGAAUGGCCGCGCCGAGCACAGCCGGCUACUGAAGCGGCACCCUGCCCACCUAAGAGGCCAACGCAGCAGCCACAGUGAUAGUACUGAAAUCCCCCCCCCUUGCUUACGCUGUGCACCCAGGUGUUCGAUUCUGGGGUGUACGGAGAAAAAAGGGGAGGGGUUCCCCCUCACUAUGUCUAAAGCAUUUGACUACGGACACAAGAACUACUGAUUAUUCCUGAGUGUCCCAUGCUUUUAUUAGAAAAAGACCUGUUGAAGACUUUGACUUCCCCUACUGUUCUCCAGGGCUGUAAAGAAAAGCAGGCUGCUCUCUGCCUUCGCCAUGCCCACCUCGCUGAGGAAGGCUUUGCAGCCACUGCCGGCUGAAUCCUCCCAGCUGCCUUGGUCACAGCCCAAGCCUGGGAACUCUGCUUACAGCCACCUGCCCCCACAGGCAGCAACUAACUGAAAUGAAGAGGGGUCCUGGAGAUGCUGGAGCCCAAUUCCAAACAGCCUUCCUGAGCUGCUUGCAAGUUUCACAGAGCCCAGCUCCCAGACCGCAGCUGUGGGAAGCUUGGGGUACUGCAAUGCCCAAGCAGAGCCAGUUUUAGUGGCGUGUGCCGGUAGGAUUUGCUGAAGAAGACAGGGCAGCAAUGGUGAAUGAGUUGAGCAGCCUACUUAAAGGGACAUCGGCCGGAAGGCAGAGAAGCUUUUUCUUACCAGGACUAAGAAGAUCAAAGAAGAAAUCUUCUCGAGGUUUGGCCUGCUCAAGGUAAUCGAGGUUGAUGGUAAAACUGCCGUGUUGCUCAGAAAAGUCAGGGUAUAGGUAAGACUGGGAAAAUUACAUUGUGCAUAAAGACCCCAGAGUUCAGGACAGGUAAAAAGGAUAAAGACCCUUACCAAAUUAGCCUUUGGAGUCUGGCACUAGAGACUGGGUACAGCUCCUUCCCCUAGCCCUGUUCUGUGUACGAAACACCCCGUCUCAGCUUGGACUAACCCCCUAUGAGAUCCAAUAUGGGGGACCCCCUCUUAGUUUCCUAAGGCCCCUCAUGACCCAUUUGCUCACAAACCCCAUCUGCAGGCACAGUUGAAGACUCUCCAGAUCUCCGAGCCCAGGCAUAGAGACCCCUGGCCACCCUGACACCUGGAAAUCUUGCAUUCGUUCCAGAAUUGAUGCCUGGGGUAUAUCCGGAGGGACAUGAGAAAAGCUGCAGCACCCCAGAGCCAGAACAGCAGCUGCCCGCUCAUACCUGCAGUCCAGGCUUCCUCAAGCCCUUGCUUUGAUACCCCUGCCCUCACCCCUGAUUUCUGUCAACUAGUAGCAGGGCUAGCCUCCUGGGAUAUCCGAGAUGCAUAUCCCCCACAGCUGCCCCUUGAGGCUGGCAGAUUUUCCCCUGGAGAAAAUAUUUGGACGCGGGGGUUCAGACAUCUCCCCCACUUGUCUCCCAGGGGCAAGAGGCAGGACUGUCUCCAUGGGUGUCGGGAAGGACUUGGGACAUAAAAUGGUAUUUAUCUGACCAGAGCCUGCUGCUGCAGGCCAGACUAGACUUUCCCUAAAGGGGCCCUAGCUAUCCCUGCUGCUGCCCGCUGGACUAAGCUACUCUCCCUGCUUCUCUGCUGGCACCUCCCAAAACCAGCCCAGGCACCCGGAAAUCUCACACCCGUUCCAGGUUGGUGAUUCUGUGUAUGUUCGGAGACACCAGUCCCAGAACCUUGAACCUCGCUGAAAAGGACCCUACACCUACUGCCUUCAAUGUGUACGGUAUUGCAGCCUGGAUCCGUGCGUCUCACGUCAAGCCUGCACCUCCACAGUACGACCCAGGACCUUCCAAGUGAAAGUUUCAGCAUACCCCAAAUCCUCUCAAGGAGGCCUGAUUCUGCCAGGCUUGCUGAUCUUUGCCCUGAUGUUUAAUCUGGACCCUGACUAACUUUGAGACUGGGCAAGCCUUAAGGCUAGCCGCUGGAGUUCAUCCCCUGAAUACCUGGUUCCCCCAGCUAACUUUUGACCUGUGUUUAGCAAAUUACUCUUGGGAGGAUACUGAACAAACCCCUGGAAACUUUUAUCCUGUUUGCAAAUAUUCUGAAUGAUAUAUUUGUCCGGGGGAAAAGGCAAUAUGGGGGGGCCUAAAAUAUUUUAUUGUGCUGCCUGGGGAUAUAAAAGCAAUGUUAAUGUCUUUUGGUUGAGGGUUAACAAAAAGGACUUAGUCUCUUUCACCCGUACCACACCAGAAAAAAAAAAAUCUAAAAUCACAAUCACUUUCACUGAGAAAAAAAAAAAAGAAAAAAAAAAAAGCUAACCAGUUAACAGGCAAUACUUGGUGUUUAUGUUUUUAUGAUCCAAGAAGGAAAAACAUAGGGAUUCUUCUCACCCUGUGAGUUGUUGUAACACCUCCAAUGACCAUAGUAUUAGGGCCCAACCCGAUGUUACCUGACCAGGGCCAGCUAGCCCCUGCUGAGGUAGCCCCCCUUUCCAGGGCCCUGGGCUCCACUCCUAGUCCUAAAAACCCUUCUGCAACUCCUGCUUCACUGCUGGCAAGCUCUAAUACAGGCCAGUGACUGUUUAAUCUGAUAGUGGGAGCCUUUUCUUUGCUAAAUAGUACUGACCCCAGCUUGACACAAUCUUGUUGGAUAUGCUUGUCAGCAGGACCUCCCUAAUAUGAGGAAAUAGACUCAUCUGACAGUUUAUUGAUCUAUGAUGGGUCUACAACACUGGUUUGUUAAUCUCUGUGUACAGAUCCAAUUGGUCCUCCAAAUUUACUAAUAUUUGACGAAAUAAGAGGAGGGAAUGUAAGACUUUAAGACAAUCCUGAAGCCAUUUUUGACAAUUCUAAAUCCUCUCAGCCUCUGUGCCAUAGUGCUUCUCCUCCUCCCCUGGGAACCAAGGACCUAACAGCUACACUCGCACGUACUCAGUUCCUGAACAAUUACCCAUAUACGUAUGUUUUGGUUCGGUCCCCUGGGAAACGGGGUCAAAAUGACCUCUUACCUCAUCUGAUCUGGCAACAGCUCUCCAGUCAAUUACUGGUAAUAGCCCUUUCGAAUAAGCCAAUCAGAAUAGUCAAAGAACAACCCCCCUUGCUUCUGUGGCCCCUUUAAAAGUAGACUGUAUCAGCUAUUCUAGGUCCCUUGGCUUCCCGAAUGCUGGGGGACCCUGUCAUGACAGAAUUAAUAAAAUCCUCAUGCUUUUGCA